rnacentral:tRNA from 2 species
CGCGGGGUAGAGCAGUUUGGUAGCUCGCAAGGCUCAUAACCUUGAGGUCAUGGGUUCAAAUCCUGUCUCCGCAA